CCUACGGGGGGCUGCAGUGGGGAAUCUUGCGCAAUGGACGAAAGUCUGACGCAGCCACGCCGCGUGAGUGAAGAAGGCCUUCGGGUUGUAAAGCUCUGUCGGAAGGGACAAAAACCCUUUAGGUGAAUAGCCUAGAGGCUUGAUGGUACCUUCAAAGGAAGCACCGGCUAACUUCGUGCCAGCAGCCGCGGUAAUACGAAGGGUGCAAGCGUUGCUCGGAAUUAUUGGGCGUAAAGGGUAGGUAGGUGGUUACGUAUGUCUGAGGUGAAAGCCCC
rnacentral:rRNA from 1 species